rnacentral:lncRNA from 1 species
AGGUCUCUAGCUUGAGAUAGAGAUAUCACUCUAUGGCCCACAAACUAGGAGGUUUUAUUCUUCAGAAGCCAAGAGAUUCUUUCUCUAACAGAGUUUCCCAUGGCCUGGAAGAUAACCUAUGACUCUCUAACCCAGUAAGCAUGGCUGCUGGCCUCUUCUCUGUUCAUUCUACUCAUGAACCCGAUGCUCUGGUCAUGUGGAAUUCCAAAUUUGAUAUGCUAAAAAUGAAGAAACAAAACGAAAUGAUUCCUUGUAUAUUCUGUAAGUUGAUUCCCCACAUCCCCACACAGAUACAAGGCAAAUGCAAAACACUCAGCUAAGAAUUCAGCCAUCUCUGCCUUGCACAUGUUUCCAUUGCCCAGAUUUCCUCUUUUGAUGGUUGUCCGGAGUUCACCUGUUCUCAGCCCUCCCUCUUCUGGGAAGCCUUUUCUGAUUUUGGUGCAGCCAUCAGUGAGAUCUCUUUUCUUUGUACCCACAGCAAUCUACAAUUCCAAUAUUGCUUUAACCUCUACAAACAACCCCUUGAACUCAGAGUGAAAAUAGAGUCACAUUUGUUGGAUGUUUCCAGUUGAUCUCUCAGGUCCCCAGAUGCUUCAUGACUGCAUACAUCACUCCAUCCUAUGACUUCAUUAUUGUACAGUGUUAAAUUUUUGGAGUACUCUCUCAACAGAAAAAAAAAACUGUUAAAAAUGAACAAGCAGAACAACCAUCGCAACAACAAUAAACACAACAUGAGCUUAUGAAAUCCCCAACCUCUAAGAUAAAGCAAGAGGAGGGGUGUCAGAUAAGAGCAUUUCUCUCAUUGCUUUCAGCUGCCAAAUCUGUCCCUUUAGAAACUGCUAAUCUCUGCUCUGACAGGCCAUACGGCUCAUCUUGCCACAAGACCUCACUUGUCCAAUUGUCAUGCCACCUGCCGUGGUUCUUCAAGGGAGAACAUGCUUAUAUAUUCUUAGCUGAGCCAGGCAAAGAGGUCCCCAAUGUGGAGUUCUCUAUUUGAAAAUCCUCAUACUCAGCUCUCUCAGGUAUGUAGCCAAGUUAUCUGCUAGACCCAAGAAUUCUGGUCAAGGAAGUGACUACGUCUGCUAUAUCACCAGCCUAGAAUCCCUGUGCCCUUUCCUUCCUGGGAAUUGACUUAAGGGGGCAGGCAGAUUUUUCAUGCACAAAGGAUCAGACUGCCCUUCCCUUAUAUAAUGGGGUGACAGUCUCAUCCUUCCAAGAGAUGUGUCCUUAGUUCCUCAGUUUUCUUUUAUGGAACUCUAACCUCAGUGACAAAAGAGUGAUUUAUCUUUCCAGUAGAGGCUCAUCAUGGGAUUUCAAAAUAUCUACAUGUAUGUUCAGAUUUGCAAAGUACCCUAUUCUCUUUUUCCCCAGUUCUAGGAGAGACUGCUCUUGAUGAAUCAAAAAUGGUUUCCUGGCAUGUGUCUUGUUGAGAACAGAAGGAAAAACAAAAUUUAAUCACUGGCAUAUAUCCCACCACAAUCAAUUUCACGAUUCUAUAAUGCAAUUGCACCAUUUCUUGCUAAUAUGUGCUAUUAGACAGCAGAUUUGUUGAGAGUGGGAAUUACAUCUUACCUAUAACCAUUAAGGCAUUACACCUUAAUUCUAUCCAUGCACAGUUUCUAAGCUAGAACCUGCUGCGGAGUUGCACUCUAGUGAUUUAUUUAUUAUUUCACUAAAGAAAGAAGACUGAAUGAGUGCAUGGAUCUCCUCCUAGAGUCCUUUCUGGGCACCAUGUUCAAAAUGAAAAAGGUCUUUUAUCUGUGGUCACCAAAAUUAUAUUUCUGAAAAAGAUGCUGAAGUUUGUCUUUGAUAAGCUCUCUUACAUGUAAUUACCUAUGUUCCUGGCUAUCUUUUAUAAAGCAGCAAUAAACUCAAGAUUGUCUAAUAACAAUACCAGUGGAAGUACUAUGUGCAAAGACCCCUUGGGAAUCCCAGGAUGGAAACACCUUCCAUUAAAAAAGGUAACAGUCUCUUCCUUGGCAAUACAGGAUAAUGGUGAUAUCAGAAUAUUUCAGAACGUAUGUGCCUACUUAUCAACAGGUAUCAGUGUGAAGACACUGUGUACAGGUUCUGGCUCUAGCUCUGCUGCCAACCUACUAAGCUAGCUUUGAUAAGUCUUUGUCCAUCUCUGG